CCCGCACAAGCGGUGGAGCAUGUUGGUUUAAUUCGACGCAACGCGAAGAACCUUACCAGGGCUUGACACUCCCCUGACCGCGUAUGAAAGUACGUUUUCACCCUCGGGUGACAGGGAGACAGGUGGUGCAUGGUUGUCGUCAGCUCGUGUCGUGAGAUGUUGGGUUAAGUCCCGCAACGAGCGCAACCCCUACGUUUAGUUGCUAACGCGUGAAGGCGAGCACUCUAGACGAACUGCCGUUGACAAAACGGAGGAAGGUGGGGAUGACGUCAAGUCAUCAUGGCCCCUAUGUCCAGGGCUACACACGUGCUACAAUGGGCGAUACAGAGUGACGCGAAGCCGCGAGGUGGAGCAAAUCGCAGAAAAUCGCUCUCAGUUCGGAUUGGAGUCUGAAACCCGACUCCAUGAAGGUGGAAUCGCUAGUAAUCGCGCAUCAGCAUGGCGCGGUGAAUACGUUCCCGGGCCUU
rnacentral:rRNA from 1 species